UAUGAACAACAAAUUUAGACACACUGGGACAAGAUGGAAAAGAGCUGACCAAUGGAAGAUUCGUCUUCAGCUGACUAAGCCUGUUACUUAGCCUCCAUUGUUAUGGGGAGUAGUUUGCGGAGCUGCUGCCUCUGGGUUUUGGUAAAUUGGACAUAACCUCUUACCAUCAAAUAUGGGAUCUAAAAAUUGGUUCAAGGUAUCAAGCCUCCAAAGUUUG